rnacentral:rRNA from 1 species
UACGAAGGGGGCUAGCGUUGCUCGGAAUUACUGGGCGUAAAGCGCACGUAGGCGGAUUGUUAAGUCGGGGGUGAAAGCCCGGGGCUCAACUCCGGAACUGCCUUUAAAACUGCAUCGCUUGAAUCCAGGAGAGGUGAGUGGAAUUCCCGGUGUAGAGGUGAAAUUCGUAGAUAUCGGGAGGAACACCAGAGGCGAAGGCGGCGACCUGGAAGGUAACUGACACUGAGCAGCGAAAGCGUGGGGAGCAAACAGG